GGGAUGAAGAACGUAGCGAAAUGCGAUAAGUAAUGUGAAUUGCAGAAUUCAGUGAAUCAUCGAAUCUUUGAACGCACAUUGCGCCCAUUAGUAUUCUAGUGGGCAUGCCUGUUCGAGCGUCAUUAAGUCCACUUAAGCCCUGCUUAGUGUUGGGAGACUGCUCCAGCGGUGCUACCCUGUAGCUACCCUGCAGCUCCUCAAAGACAGCGGCGGAGUUGUGGUAUCCUCUGAGCUUAGUAACUUGUUCUAGCUUUCGAGUACACCACUUCCCCUGCCGUAAAACCCUUAAUUUUUAAUGGUUGACCUCGGAUCAGGUAGGAAUACCCGCUGAACUUAAGCAUAUCAAUAAGCGGAGGA
rnacentral:misc_RNA from 1 species